rnacentral:lncRNA from 1 species
AAUGCAGCUUACAAAGUUGAAUCAUGGCAAGUGGUUCAUUGAACACUGCACAGAAAGUAAAUGAAGUGUAUAUGUUCUAAUCACAAUUGGAAUUUUAAGUGAGUGGAAUGGAAUAAACUUGGUUUGGAAUUUGAAAUAAAUUCAGCUUGGAAUGUGUCUUAGAGACCAAGGUUUAUACAAGAGCUACACAAACUUCUCAGCAUGAAACAUGACACAAGGUGAAAUUUUCCUGGCAUCUUAGAAGAGCCAGAUAUGGAUUUCUGCAGGACUGGGGCACAGACAGUUGGUCCAGAACUAUUUGUUUCUACUUGGGGAAGAAACAUGGAAGCUUAUCUAAUACCUUGGGGUGGGAGUAAUAUUCCACCUGGUGGAUGGAAUUGUGUAUGCUUUCUCAGAAGGUGCUGUUUUUAGCUUUGUGUUACCAAUAAAAUAUUUUCAUCCGGUUUUCAUUUUUCUAUCAUUUGAUGUCUACUUCAGUAGUUCUAAGUAACUUUAUCUAUCACAUAUAUUAAAAACUAGUUAGAAAAA